AGCGUCCAUGAUGUUACGCAAUUACCUACAUUGUUUGAGCCUCAUGAAAACAUAACUGGCUGAGACGCCU